UUGAAGAGUUGAAUGAAGAGGAGGAAGGGAUACAGCCAAUGAGAAGAUCUGUUUCUUUAGAUUCUUUAUCUGCUUUCAAGAUCAGUCAGGCUCUUGCUAAUGUUCGUGCAGUAGAAUCUGAUCGAAUUUCAGGUAGAGAAUUGGCAAAAGAGAAUGAAUCCAAUAUGGGAAUCGUUUCAAAGAGAGGUGGUAACAAUCAAAGCUUGCUAAAAUUCAUGGCUAGUUCUUCUAUUGGGAGGUCUUUGCAAAUUGGGCCAAGUUCAUUAAAGAGAUCACUUUCCUGUGGUGGAAAAUUGUUCUUGUUAAGGUAUAACAGGAACAGAAACUCUGUUCUUCCUCUGUGAUGCUAAAUCCUCCUCAAUGUUGUCCUUUAAUGAGGUGAGAAAUCUGCAAACUGAGAUCUUUUCAAACUUCUCCACAAGAUGAGAGUUUUACAUACUGCAAAUACACACCAAAAUACUGUAAUAACGAAGACAUGAAAUUAUGAUCUAUUGAUCCUAAACUGGAUAAUGUUACUUUUGUUACAAUACCAUGUAAUUGUAAGUAAAACUUUUGU
rnacentral:misc_RNA from 1 species